UGCAAACUCCGAAUACCAGUAAGUACUAUCCGGGAGACACACGGCGGGUGCUAACGUCCGUCGUGGAGAGGGAAACAACCCAGACCGCCAGCUAAGGUCCCAAAUUACUACUAAGUGGGAAACGAUGUGGGAAGGCUCAGACAGCCAGGAUGUUGGCUUAGAAGCAGCCAUCAUUUAAAGAAAGCGUAAUAGCUCACUGGUCGAGUCGGCCUGCGCGGAAGAUGUAACGGGGCUAAGUAGUAAACCGAAGCUGCGGCAAUAUACUUUUGUAUAU
rnacentral:rRNA from 1 species